AUGAUCAGACAGCUAAUAUUCAACCUCUUCAACCAUUCUAAAAUCCCAAUGGCAGACAUUUCACCUCAUGUGAAAAGGACCCUUUCCAUACUCUAACAUUACCUCUCUUCUCUCCUUUGUAUCAUUUCUGUUGUUUUCUCUCUUCGCAACCUCUCUCUUUUUAUAUAGAAAAAGGUUGCAUUUUUAUUUUAGCAUGCAUUCUUCUCUUUCUUGUUUGUUGGGAUUUUGAAACUCAAAGAUCGGAUCGAUAGUCAUCUCAUUUCGGCGACCCUACACAUGAUAUCUCUCCCUUUCUCUUUGUUUUUCUAAAUGGUUUAACAUGGACCUUUUGAAGACACACAGGGAGAGUGACUGAUCUCUGAAAACACAUAGCUUUCUUAGCAAAAUCAAAGUUGUUGGAAGGAAGGGUAAAUGUCUUCUUCCAACUCUCCAUGUGCGGCAUGCAAGUUCUUAAGGAGAAAAUGCACGCAAGAAUGUGUUUUCGCACCUUAUUUUCCACCGGACCAGCCUCAAAAAUUUGCAAGUGUCCAUAAGGUAUUUGGUGCUAGUAAUGUUGCUAAACUUUUGAAUGAGCUCAAUGCUGCACAACGUGAAGAUGCUGUUAAUUCACUUGCCUAUGAAGCUGAAGAACGGCUCCGUGAUCCUGUUUAUGGCUGUGUUGGGCUAAUUUCAAUUCUUCAACAUAGACUGAAGCAACUCCAGAAUGAUCUUUAUUGUGCGAAGAAAGAACUAGCUAAUUAUAUAGGGCCUCAAGCAAUGCUACCUAUGGUGAUGCAGCCACAACAUAUGGGUAAUCCUUCUUCUUCAACUGUGAUGCAACAUAGUGUGAUGCCAAUGAUGGGUAUUCCUUCUGUUGGACAAAUGGGGAUGCGUGCAGAGGCUCAUCAACAUCAAAACCAUCAUGUCCAUCCUCAGCAACUCUACGAGGCUCAACAGUUGGCUGCUGUGGUGGCUGCAAGAGAGCAGGAGAUAUUAAGGGCUUAUGAGCAACAGCAACAACAGCACCAUCAGCAAGAAAUUGUGAGAUUUAAUGGUGGACUUGAGCCAGCUAAUUCAGUUUCUGAUACUGGGUAUAAUCAGAUCAAUCCCUCUGCUGCUGCUGCUGCUAUGCCAUCCUCUUUGGCUCUAGGAACUUUUGACAACACUUUUCAGAUUCAACCACAAGGAGAGCCCCAUCCCAAUCAGCUUCAGGCACAGGUUUUGCUUCAGCCACAACAAAUCCAACAGCAUCCAAAAUCUGAAAGCGAGGAAGGUAGGAGGAGUGUUGGUCCUUCUUGUUGAUGUUUUUGCGACACUGUGUACCUUUCUUGCUAGUUUCUUAUGGCGAUUUUCCAAUCUAGCUAGCUCUUAUAUAAAUGCCGGACACAAGUGGAUAGAAAGAAAUACAUAGAGAGAGGGAGGGGGGAGGUUUACAUCUGAAAUCUCAAGGCAGUAUUUUUUUUUAUAAAAUUUUUGGCCCCUGGAGAAGAAGACUUUCUGGAGAGACGCAACAUGAAAUGAAGGAUCUGUCUUGGUUUUCGAGUACAGCUUUCUUUUAUCUGGCGUUUGGACUUAAAUUAAUGCAGAGAACGUUUAUGUAAAUCUGAAGCAUGGGAAGCCUUCUUUGAAGCUUUUAUUGCCCGCCCUUUAUAUUUUUAUUUUCGCUACCCCUGUCGUUUUAAUUGUUAGAAUCUCAUGUUUCGAGUUCUCCUUUAGCAUGCCCAAUAUUAGAUCUUUAUAGGUUGUAUCUAGCCAUGUUAUAAAAACUUAGUAAAAUGUAUUUUCUCAA